rnacentral:rRNA from 1 species
AGUGAACGCUGGCGGUAGGCCUAACACAUGCAGGUCGAACGGCAGCACAGUAAGAGCUUGCUCUUACGGGUGGCGAGUGGCGGACGGGUGAGGAAUACAUCGGAAUCUACUUUUUCGUGGGGGAUAACGUAGGGAAACUUACGCUAAUACCGCAUACGACCUACGGGUGAAAGCAGGGGAUCUUCGGACCUUGCGCGGUUGAAUGAGCCGAUGUCGGAUUAGCUAGUUGGCGGGGUAAAGGCCCACCAAGGCGACGAUCCGUAGCUGGUCUGAGAGGAUGAUCAGCCACACUGGAACUGGGACACGGUCCAGACUCCUACGGGAGGCAGCAGUGGGGAAUAUUGGACAAUGGGCGCAAGCCUGAUCCAGCCAUACCGCGUGGGUGAAGAAGGCCUUCGGGUUGUAAAGCCCUUUUGUUGGGAAAGAAAAGCAGCAGGUUAAUACCCCGCUGUUCUGACGGUACCCAAAGAAUAAGCACCGGCUAACUUCGUG